CUCCAUUUACUGAUGUUUGUGGAGAAGCCCAGACGUAGAUGAUCCAAAUGAGCCCACCCUUGUGUUUCAAGCACACUCCCAACAUAUGACUAAAACGGAGAAGCCAGACAGUUACUGGAGGGACAUCUGUGCGAAAUAUGCCCAGGGCCAGUUCAAAGUUUCAACUGGCAAACGGCCAGGGGCCAAAAAGUGGAAAAAGGCCUUGGAACAAAUUCAUGCUUGCCCCUUUGAAAAUCGUAUGCAAAAUGUUAAGGAUCUGUUUGGGAGAAGCCUUCAGUGCUUGUGUGGGUUCCACAAGCCAGCAGAUCUGUCAUCAGGUGCUGGGUCCAGUGAGGCAGCAGGAGUUGAGACAGAGGCAGGGCAAGUGCGAGUCAGCACAGACGCAGAGAGAGGAGGCAUGGAGACAAGGAGAGGAGACAUGGAUUCAGGGUCAGUCCGAAACACCACAGAAGCAGGGAGAGGAGACAUAAAGGCAAGAU